rnacentral:rRNA from 1 species
UACAAAGGGGGCUAGCGUUGCUCGGAAUUACUGGGCGUAAAGGGAGCGUAGGCGGACAUUUAAGUCAGGGGUGAAAUCCCGGGGCUCAACCUCGGAAUUGCCUUUGAUACUGGGUGUCUUGAGUAUGAGAGAGGUAUGUGGAACUCCGAGUGUAGAGGUGAAAUUCGUAGAUAUUCGGAAGAACACCAGUGGCGAAGGCGACAUACUGGCUCAUUACUGACGCUGAGGCUCGAAAGCGUGGGGAGCAAACAGG